AGAGUUUGAUCCUGGCUCAGGACGAACGCUGGCGGCGUGCUUAACACAUGCAAGUCGAACGAUGAAGCCCUUCGGGGUGGAUUAGUGGCGAACGGGUGAGUAACACGUGGGCAAUCUGCCCUUCACUCUGGGACAAGCCCUGGAAACGGGGUCUAAUACCGGAUACCACUCCUGUCCGCAUGGGCAGGGGUUGAAAGCUCCGGCGGUGAAGGAUGAGCCCGCGGCCUAUCAGCUUGUUGGUGGGGUAACGGCCCACCAAGGCGACGACGGGUAGCCGGCCUGAGAGGGCGACCGGCCACACUGGGACUGAGACACGGCCCAGACUCCUACGAGAGGCAGCAGUGGGGAAUAUUGCACAAUGGGCGAAAGCCUGAUGCAGCGACGCCGCGUGAGGGAUGACGGCCUUCGGGUUGUAAACCUCUUUCAGCAGGGAAGAAGCGAAAGUGACGGUACCUGCAGAAGAAGCGCCGGCUAACUACGUGCCAGCAGCCGCGGUAAUACGUAGGGCGCAAGCGUUGUCCGGAAUUAUUGGGCGUAAAGAGCUCGUAGGCGGCUUGUCACGUCGGAUGUGAAAGCCCGAGGCUUAACCUCGGGUCUGCAUUCGAUACGGGCUAGCUAGAGUGUGGU
rnacentral:rRNA from 1 species